rnacentral:lncRNA from 1 species
CGGGCACCGGCUCCAGGUUUCCGGGAGGAGGAAGUGCGAGUCUGGGCCGAGGGCUUCCAGGCGAAAGGGCCGGGACUCCUGCAGAGGGGCCUCGGGCCCGCGGGCUCCCUGCUCUGCAGAGCUGGGAUCGCACCUACUUGCGGAGCUGGAGGAGCCGGCGCUGGCACUCGGGGGACAGGCGCUCUAGGUCCGAGUCCUCACUGGCCUCCCCCUCCCACGCUAACAUUUGUUGAACUCUGCCACAGACUUUACACAUGGUGGGCCUUUGGGAAUGAGACCAGGCGGAUUCCCCAACCUCCACCCUGACCCCGCAGAGCCUUGAAAAGAAAUAAGCAGGAUCUUUCUUCGGAUCACUCCACUUCUUGUCUGCACUUUGGCCUUGCGGCUAAUACUGUGACCUUGAGCUGCUCCCAAGACUUUUUGGUCCUCCACGGUGUGUAAAAUAAGCCAGUUCUCUCCAUUUGGGCAUAUCAUUCUGUUUAACUCGGCCAAGUAGUCCUACGGAAUGGCUGUGUGGUGCAAGAUCUCUACAGAGUGAUGGCAUACAGUGAUGGGCCAAACUGCCAGCUUGCGUGGUUGACUGGGAAAGCAGGCAUACAAAUGUGAUCACUAAAGAUUCCUGGGGGGGGGGGGGUUGGAAGCAUGCAAGAGGGAAAUUUUGCUGGUCUCCAAUUCACACACAUACAGACACACACACACACACACACACACACACACACCAUCUGGCCCCCCAUAGAAGUCCCCCUUCCCCAACACACACGUUCAUUCACCCUAAACAGGAAGUGAUGGCUGAGUCCUAGUUAACUAGCUGGAGGGUGGGAUAUUGGAAGCAAUAGGAAGCCUUUGAUAGGGCCUUGAAGGUUAGAGCGAGUGUGGGACAUAAAUGAACUGCAGCAAAUCUAAUACUUCUGGAGCUUGCAGGGUUUGGGAGGAAGGCUGAAGAUAGAGAAGGGAUCAGGUUAUGAGUAUUUAUAAAUAAACCCUGAUAAGGACUGUGGACUUCUCACUGAGAUUAUUGGGGAGACUAGAUAGAUAGAAAAGAAGGUCGGGAUUGACAUAUACACACUCCUAUAUAUAAAAUGGGUAACAAGGACCUGAUGUAUAGCACAGAGUAAUCUGCUCAAUACUGUGUAAAGACCUAUGUGGAAAAAGAAUCUGAAAAGGAAUGGAUAUAUGUAUCUAUAUAACUGAUUUACUUUGCAGUACACCUGAAACUGUAACUCAACUAUACUCCAAUAGAAUUUAUUUUUUAAAAAUACUAAAAAGAAGGAAAAUCAUCUUUAUCCACAGGCAACACGAUUGUGGACACUGAAAAUUCAAAGGAAUCCCCCCAAAAUGACUAGGACGAAUAAGUGUAUUUAACAAGGUCACAAGGAGUUUCCGUCGUGGCGCAGCAGAAAUGAAUCCGACUAGGAACCAGGAGGUUGCGGGUUUGAUCCCUGGCCUCGCUCAGUGGGUUAAGGAUCUGGUGUUGCUGUGGUGUAGGUCGCAGACACUGCUCGGAUCCCGAAGUGCUGUGGUGUAGACCAGUGGCUACUGCUCCGAUUUGACCCCUAGCCUGGGAAACUCCAUAUGCUGCAGGUGCGGCCC